AGCAACGUGGCGCAGUGGAAGCGCGUUGGGCUCAUAACCCAAAGGUCGGUAGAUCGAAACUACCCGUUGCUA